GGGGGCGUAACGGAUUCGACGGGAUCGAAUCGACGUAAGAAGGCGUGCCGGGUUCCGAGCUCCCGUUAAACGAUCGGAAAACUAAAACUGCCAAUUCGCAGUUUGCAUACGCUGCCUAAGUAAUUAGGCGGCCGCUCCGGCUUGCAGGCCCGCAUGCAGGUUAGCGAGCGUCAUUUUGCGGGAUAGGCUGAAGGCUUCUGCUCGUAGCCGCAGGCCGAGAUCAAUCGAGCUGGACCGCCGUGGUCUUGCCGGUUUCAGAAUCGGUGGUCGAGACAAAUAGAACCGGAUACGCACGUAGUCGUCUUAUGGAGAGCUUUCUCGGACGCGGGUUCAACUCCCGCCGCCUCCACCA
rnacentral:tmRNA from 1 species